CAUAAAGAAUUAUUUAUUGAGGUAAAACAUAUGUAUAAAAAGCUUCAAGCAUAACUGGUAAAGCAGUAUAACGAAGGUUUCAAAAUCAUAAUAUUACAGAUAAAUAGGUCUGUUUACAGGCCAGACAAAAUAAUAGCACUUUUUAACCGAUUGUAUAGCAUAAUUUUAAAAUUG
rnacentral:misc_RNA from 1 species